GAGGUCGAAUGAGGAUGGCAUACGAAGACCCGGCUUCAUUGGUGACAUGGAUAUUCCUCGUUUUCCAAGAGAAGUUUUUUGACGUUGCACAACUCGAGGCAGGGGUCGUUUGAUACUUUGAUCCGAUGAGGUUUUGGAAUUUGAGCGUGUGCGACCUACAAACAAAUCGUAAUCUUCAGCUUGCUUAGUGUGUUUCGAUUGAAUGGUUGAUUUUUUGGAGGAUAGAUUUGAGGAAUCUAAGCUAGGUAAUUCGAUUUGAGAAUAAGAUACUUCACCUUUGGAAUCCUCAGUAGAAGCUCCUUCAGCGUUACUGGGAGAAUCAUCAUCCGAAAUCUUUGAAUCCUUAAAAAGUUGUAAUAACGGAUGGGAAUCAUUAGAUGAAGGGGGUUCAUGCACUGUGGAAGAUUUUGGAAUUACAGUUCCAGUUACAGUAGUGGAGGAAGU